UAGGGAAUCUUCCGCAAUGGACGAAAGUCUGACGGAGCAACGCCGCGUGAACGAAGAAGGCCUUCGGGUCGUAAAGUUCUGUUGUUAGGGAAGAACAAGUACCAGAGUAACUGCUGGUACCUUGACGGUACCUAACCAGAAAGCCACGGCUAACUACGUGCCAGCAGCCGCGGUAAUACGUAGGGGGCAAGCGUUGUCCGGAAUUAUUGGGCGUAAAGCGCGCGCAGGCGGUCCUUUAAGUCUGAUGUGAAAGACCACGGCUCAACCGUGGAGGGUCAUGGGAAACUGGGGGACUUGAGGGCAGAAGAGGAAAGCGGAAUUCCACGUGUAGCGGUGAAAUGCGUAGAUAUGUGGAGGAACACCAGUGGCGAAGGCGGCUUUCUGGUCUGUAACUGACGCUGAGGCGCGAAAGCGUGGGGAGCAAACAGG
rnacentral:rRNA from 2 species